rnacentral:rRNA from 1 species
UUACUUCGGUACAUCGGUGACAGGUGGUGCAUGGUUGUCGUCAGCUCGUGUCGUGAGAUGUUGGGUUAAGUCCCGCAACGAGCGCAACCCUCGACCUUAGUUGCCAGCAUUCAGUUGGGCACUCUAAGGUGACUGCCGGCUAAAAGUCGGAGGAAGGUGGGGAUGACGUCAAAUCAUCAUGCCCCUUAUGACCUGGGCUACACACGUGCUACAAUGGGCGGUACAAAGGGUCGCGAACCCGCGAGGGGGAGCCAAUCCCAAAAAGCCGCUCUCAGUUCGGAUUGCAGGCUGCAACUCGCCUGCAUGAAGCCGGAAUCGCUAGUAAUCGCGGAUCAGCAUGCCGCGGUGAAUACGUUCCCGGGCCUU